UUUCCGUAGGUGAACCUGCGGAAGGAUCAUUAACGAGCAAGGGUCAUUCUGGCCCGACCUCCAACCCUUUGUUUCAUUACUAUGUAGCUUUGGUGGGCCCGUUUCACGUUUGCCGGAAGUACUCGGACUUUUCGCCCGUACCCGCAAAUAGCCUACUACAAACUAUGAAUAAAUUGGGUUGACAGAGUAAUAUAUUUAAUAGUUAAUACUUUCAACAACGGCUCUCAUGGUCCUGGCAUCUAUGAAGAACGCAGCAGAUCGGAAGAGCACACACCUAAA
rnacentral:misc_RNA from 1 species